rnacentral:misc_RNA from 1 species
GUGAAUCAUCGAAUUUUUGAACGCAAAUUGCACUCUCUUCGGAGAGUAUGCCUGUUUGAGGGUCAGCCUAAAAAAAAUCGACAUAGUUUCUGUUACGUGUUAACAUUCUUCAGAUAUUGGGUCAUCUUAAACAUUUGAUUUUAAGUGCGUUAAAAUUUUCUUUACGAUUCCAAUAAUGUUUUUAAGAUUUUAUCUUCUUAUACUUUUUAUUUAUCGAUCUUUAUUAGACGUGACCGUUGCAUCGGGUCUCUUUCA